rnacentral:rRNA from 1 species
AGGUGAGCGGGGCUUCGGCCCCGUGGAAACUGGUGCACGGGUGAGUAACGCGUGGGAAUCUACCCCGGGGUGGGGAAUAACCGCUGGAAACGGCGGCUAAUACCGCAUACGCCUUGAGAGGGAAAGCUUUAUGCGCCCUGGGAUGAGCCCGCGUCGGAUUAGCUUGUUGGUGAGGUAACGGCUCACCAAGGCUUCGAUCCGUAGCUGGUCUGAGAGGAUGAUCAGCCACACUGGGGCUGAGACACGGCCCAGACUCCUACGGGAGGCAGCAGUGGGGAAUAUUGGACAAUGGGGGCAACCCUGAUCCAGCCAUGCCGCGUGCGUGAAGAAGGCCUUAGGGUUGUAAAGCGCUUUCGGCGGGGAAGAUGAUGACGGUACCCGCAGAAGAAGCCCCGGCUAACUCCGUGCCAGCAGCCGCGGUAAUACGGAGGGGGCAAGCGUUGUUCGGAAUUACUGGGCGUAAAGGGCGCGUAGGCGGAUUAUCAAGUCAGAGGUGAAAGCCCUGGGCUCAACCUGGGAACUGCCUUUGAAACUGAUAGUCUUGAGUCCGAGAGAGGAUGGCGGAAUUCCCAGUGUAGAGGUGAAAUUCGUAGAUAUUGGGAAGAACACCAGUGGCGAAGGCGGCCAUCUGGCUCGGUACUGACGCUGAGGCGCGAAAGCGUGGGGAGCAAACAGGAUUAGAUACCCUGGUAGUCCACGCCGUAAACGAUGUGUGCUAGCCGUUGGGAAACCUAGUUUUUCAGUGG